AUACAGAGGGUGCAAGCGUUAAUCGGAAUUACUGGGCGUAAAGCGCGCGUAGGCGGUUUAAUUAGUCGGAUGUGAAAGCCCCGGGCUCAACCUGGGAACUGCAUUCGAUACUGUUAAGCUAGAGUAUGGUAGAGGGAAGUGGAAUUCCAGGUGUAGCGGUGAAAUGCGUAGAUAUCUGGAGGAACAUCAGUGGCGAAGGCGACUUCCUGGACCAAUACUGACGCUGAGGUGCGAAAGCGUGGGGAGCAAACAGGAUUAGAUACCCUAGUAGUCC
rnacentral:rRNA from 1 species